AUUGAACGCUGGCGGCAUGCCUUACACAUGCAAGUCGAACGGCAGCGGACCUUCGGGUGCCGGCGAGUGGCGAACGGGUGAGUAAUGCAUCGGAACGUACCUUUCAGUGGGGGAUAACGUAGCGAAAGUUACGCUAAUACCGCAUAUUCUGUGAGCAGGAAAGCAGGGGAUCGCAAGACCUUGCGCUGAUUGAGCGGCCGAUGUCAGAUUAGCUAGUUGGUGAGGUAAAGGCUCACCAAGGCGACGGUCUGUAGCGGGUCUGAGAGGAUGGUCCGCCACACUGGGACUGAGACACGGCCCAGACUCCUACGGGAGGCAGCAGUGGGGAAUUUUGGACAAUGGGGGCAACCCUGAUCCAGCCAUGCCGCGUGAGUGAAGAAGGCCUUCGGGUUGUAAAGCUCUUUCGGCCGGGAAGAAAUCGCACAGGCUAAUACCUUGUGUGGAUGACGGUACCGGAAUAAGAAGCACCGGCUAACUACGUGCCAGCAGCCGCGGUAAGAC
rnacentral:rRNA from 1 species